UUUGCGGAUUGUCAUCAGUAGUGUUUAGUGGCGGACGGGUGAGUAACACGUUGGUACCUGCCUUUAGUGGGAAUAACUCGGCGAAAGUCGGGCUAAUACCGCAUGUGAUCCGUCGGGAUUAAAGCCUUCGGGCGCUAAAGGAGGGGCCUGCGUCUGAUUAGCUUGUUGGUAAGGUAAUGGCUUACCAAGGCGAUGAUCAGUAGCUGGUUCGAGAGGAUGAUCAGCCACACUGGAACUGAGAUACGGUCCAGACUCCUACGGGAGGCAGCAGUAAGGAAUCUUCCGCAAUGGACGAAAGUCUGACGGAGCAACGCCGCGUGCAGGAUGAAGGCUUUCGGGUCGUAAACUGCUUUUGUAUGGGAAGAUUAUGACGGUACCAUACGAAUAAGGACCGGCUAACUACGUG
rnacentral:rRNA from 1 species